rnacentral:misc_RNA from 1 species
GUAAAUUAAUUAGAACACUCCCUAAAGCCCUAUUUGGAGCCACCAUUCGGCUAUCACCCUUCACCAAAAACUAACCCUAGUCGAUUAGUACAUUUCUCUCACUUUAGCUGCCAUUUUUACCUCCAAGUGCAUGCCCAUCAUUUCAGAUCUAUUUUCCAUCAUUCCAAGGUGUCUUUGGGUGCCCUAGAAGACUUAUGAUCCAAUAAUUGAAGCACCAGAAUAAGGUAAAUUUGAUUGAGCACUGAAAUAACUCUUAUAUGC